AAUGGCCGCGGUAUUUUGACCGUGCGAAGGUAGCAUAAUCAUUAGUCUAUUAAUUGUAGACUGGUAUGAAUGGCUUGAUGGGUAACUGCUGUUUCUAUUUUAAAAAUGAAUUUUAGGUUUUUGUGAAGACGCUAAAAUAAAACUAAAAGACGAGAAGACCCUAUUAAGCUUUACACAAGGUAUUUUGGAAUGUUGAUAAUUAUAUAGUGUUAUGUUGGGGCGACAAUAAAAUUAAAGAACUUUUGUUGAUAAUUUAAUAUUUUAAGUAUAUUGAAAUGUAUGAUCCAUAGUUUGUGAUUAUAAGAAUAAGUUACUAUAGGGAUAACAGCGUAAUAUUAUUGGAGAGCUCAUAUUGAUAAUAAAGAUUGCGACCUCGAUGUUGAAUUAGGAUUCCUUUAAGGUGCAGCCGUUUUAG
rnacentral:rRNA from 1 species